GUGCUCACUUCGGCAGCACAUAUACUAAAAUUGAAACAAUACAGAGAUUAGCCUGGCCCCUGUGCAAGGAUGACACGGAAAUUCAUGAAGCGUUCCAUAUUUAA